CCUGGUUGAUCCUGCCAGUAGUCAUAUGCUUGUCUCAAAGAUUAAGCCAUGCAUGUCUAAGUACAAGCCUAACUAAGGUGAAACCGCGAAUGGCUCAUUAAAUCACACCUAAUCUACUGGAUACUAGUCAGUUACUUGGAUACCUGAGGUAAUUCUUCAGCUAAUACAUGCACACAAGCCUCGAACUUACGUGAGAGGCGCUUUUAUUAGAUCAAAACCAGUCGCUUUCGAGCGUCCCUUUGGUGACUCUGAAUAACUUUGGGCUGAUCGCAUGGCCUCGAGCCGGCGACAUAUCCUUCGAAGGUGUGCCCUAUCAACUGUCGACUGUGGCAUAGACGCCCACAGUGGUUUUGACGGGUAACGGGGAAUCAGGGUUCGAUUCCGGAGAGGGAGCCUUAAAAACGGCUACCACAUCCAAGGAAGGCAGCAGGCACGCAAAUUACCCAAUGACCGAAGGUCGAGGUAGUGACGAAAAAUAACGAUACAGGACUCAUCCGAGGCCCUGUAAUCGGAAUGAAUUAACUUUAAAACCGUACAUGAGGAUCUAUUGGAGGGCAAGUCUGGUGCCAGCAGCCGCGGUAAUUCCAGCUCCAAUAGCGUAUAUUAAAGUUGUUGCGGUUAAAAAGCUCGUAGUUGGAUCUCGGCGGGUAGAAGGCGGUACACUGCUAAGUGUUACUGCCUUAUUACCCGUAGUUUUUGCUAGAGGUUUCAGGGUGCUCUUAAUCGAGUGUCCUGGGAUGCUAGCAGGUUUACUUUGAAAAAAUUAGAGUGCUCAAAGCAGGCUACUACGCUUGAAUAUUCGUGCAUGGAAUAAUAGAAUAGGAAGUCGUUUCUAUUUUGUUGGUUUUCGGAAAUCGACUUAAUGAUUAAUAGGGACAGUCGGGGGCAUUUGUAUUCAAACGACAGAGGUGAAAUUCUUGGACCGUUUGAAGACAAACUACUGCGAAAGCAUUUGCCAAGAAUGUUUUCAUUAAUCAAGAACGAAAGUUAGAGGUUCGAAGGCGAUUAGAUACCGCCCUAGUUCUAACCAUAAACGAUGCCAGCUAGCGAUCUGCGGACGUUUUUUUUGUAGACUCCGCAGGAAGCUUCCGGGAAACCAAAGCGUGUGGGUUCCGGGGGAAGUAUGGUUGCAAAGCUGAAACUUAAAGGAAUUGACGGAAGGGCACCACCAGGAGUGGAGCCUGCGGCUUAAUUUGACUCAACACGGGAAAUCUCACCAGGCCCGGACACUGG
rnacentral:rRNA from 1 species